GACGAACGCUGGCGGCGUGCUUAACACAUGCAAGUCGAACGAGGAGCGAUGGAAGCUUGCUUCUAUCAAUCUUAGUGGCGAACGGGUGAGUAACGCGUAAUCAACCUGCCCUUCAGAGGGGGACAACAGUUGGAAACGACUGCUAAUACCGCAUACGAUCUAAUCUCGGCAUCGAGGAUAGAUGAAAGGUGGCCUCUACGUGUAAGCUAUCACUGAAGGAGGGGAUUGCGUCUGAUUAGCUAGUUGGAGGGGUAACGGCCCACCAAGGCGAUGAUCAGUAGCCGGUCUGAGAGGAUGAACGGCCACAUUGGGACUGAGACACGGCCCAGACUCCUACGGGAGGCAGCAGUGGGGAAUCUUCCGCAAUGGACGAAAGUCUGACGGAGCAACGCCGCGUGAGCGAUGACGGCCUUCGGGUUGUAAAGCUCUGUUAAUCGGGACGAAAGGCCUUCUUGCGAAUAGUGAGAAGGAUUGACGGUACCGGAAUAGAAAGCCACGGCUAACUACGUG
rnacentral:rRNA from 1 species